rfam:Triticum urartu cultivar G1812 contig369418, whole genome shotgun sequence.
GCAGCGGCACCUGUGCCUCUGUUGCGCCCACAGUUUUUGGGUGAGUUAACUGAUAGAAGGAAGAUAUCGAUG